AACGAACGCUGGCGGCAGGCUUAACACAUGCAAGUCGAGCGCCCCGCAAGGGGAGCGGCAGACGGGUGAGUAACGCGUGGGAAUCUACCGAGCCCUACGGAAUAGCUCCGGGAAACUGGAAUUAAUACCGUAUACGCCCUACGGGGGAAAGAUUUAUCGGGGUUUGAUGAGCCCGCGUUGGAUUAGCUAGUUGGUGGGGUAAAGGCCUACCAAGGCGACGAUCCAUAGCUGGUCUGAGAGGAUGAUCAGCCACAUUGGGACUGAGACACGGCCCAAACUCCUACGGGAGGCAGCAGUGGGGAAUAUUGGACAAUGGGCGCAAGCCUGAUCCAGCCAUGCCGCGUGAGUGAUGAAGGUCUUAGGAUUGUAAAGCCCUUUCACCGGUGAAGAUAAUGACGGUAACCGGAGAAGAAGCCCCGGCUAACUUCGUGCCAGCCGCCGCAGUAA
rnacentral:rRNA from 1 species